rnacentral:rRNA from 6 species
AAUCCAGAGAUGGAUUUGUGCCUUCGGGAACUGUGAGACAGGUGCUGCAUGGCUGUCGUCAGCUCGUGUUGUGAAAUGUUGGGUUAAGUCCCGCAACGAGCGCAACCCUUAUCCUUUGUUGCCAGCGAUUAGGUCGGGAACUCAAAGGAGACUGCCAGUGAUAAACUGGAGGAAGGUGGGGAUGACGUCAAGUCAUCAUGGCCCUUACGACCAGGGCUACACACGUGCUACAAUGGCGCAUACAAAGAGAAGCGACCUCGCGAGAGCAAGCGGACCUCAUAAAGUGCGUCGUAGUCCGGAUUGGAGUCUGCAACUCGACUCCAUGAAGUCGGAAUCGCUAGUAAUCGUGGAUCAGAAUGCCACGGUGAAUACGUUCCCGGGCCUUGUACACACCGCCCGUCACACCAUGGGAGUGGGUUGCAAAAGAAGUAGGUAGCUUAACCUUCGGGAGGGCGCUUACCACUUUGUGAUUCAUGACUGGGGUGAAGUCGUAACAAGGUAACCGUAGGGGAACCUGCGGUUGGAUCACCUCCUUACCUUAAAGAA